GACGAACGCUGGCGGCGUGCUUAACACAUGCAAGUCGAACGGAAAGGCCCUGCUUUUGUGGGGUGCUCGAGUGGCGAACGGGUGAGUAACACUUGAGUAACCUGCCCUUGACUUUGGGAUAACUUCAGGAAACUGGGGCUAAUACCGGAUAGGAGCUCCUGCUGCAUGGUUGGGGUUGGAAAGUUUCGGCGGUUGGGGAUGGACUCGCGGCUUAUCAGCUUGUUGGUGGGGUAGUGGCUUACCAAGGCUUUGACGGGUAGCCGGCCUGAGAGGGUGACCGGCAAAAUUGGGACUGAGAUACGGCCCAGACUCAUACGGGAGGCAGCAGUGGGGAAUAUUGCACAAUGGGCGGAAGCCUGAUGCAGCAACGCCGCGUGCGGGAUGACGGACUUCGGGUUGUAAACCGCUUUCGCCUGUGACGAAGCGUGAGUGACGGUAAUGGGUAAAGAAGCACCGGCUAACUACGUG
rnacentral:rRNA from 1 species